rnacentral:rRNA from 1 species
UACAGAGGGUGCGAGCGUCAAUCGGAAUUACUGGGCGUAAAGCGCGCGUAGGUUGCGCAGCAAGUCAGGGGUGAAAUCCCAGAGCUUAACUCUGGAACUGCCUUUGAAACUGCUGUGCUGGAAUCUCAGAGGGGAUAGCGGAAUUCCAAAUGUAGGGGUGAAAGCCGUAGAUAUUUGGAGGAACACCGGUGGCGAAGGCGGCUAUCUGGAUGAGUAUUGACACUGAGGCGCGAAAGCGUGGGGAGCAAACAGG